rnacentral:rRNA from 1 species
UACGUAGGUGGCAAGCGUUGUCCGGAUUUAUUGGGUUUAAAGGGUGCGUAGGCGGCCCUGUAAGUCAGUGGUGAAAUACUCUAGCUUAACUAGAGGGGUGCCAAUGAUACUGCAGGGCUUGAGUACAGAUGAGGUAGGCGGAAUUGACGGUGUAGCGGUGAAAUGCGCAGAUAUCGGGAAGAACACCGGUGGCGAAGGCGGGUCUCUGGGCCGAUACUGACGCUGAGGAGCGAAAGCGUGGGGAGCGAACAGG